rnacentral:tRNA from 1 species
GCCUGGGUGGCUCAGUCAGUUAAGCGUCUGACUUCGGCUCAGGUCAUGAUCUCACAGUUCAUGGGUUCGAGUCCCGUGUCGGGCU